rnacentral:rRNA from 1 species
UGGGGGAUAUUGCACAACGGGCGAAAGCCUGAUGCAGCGACGCCGCGUGGGGGAUGAAGGCUUUUGGGUUGUAAACCUCUUUCGCUAUCGAACAAGGCUCAUUUUUUGGUGGGUUGAGGGUAGGUGGAGAAGAAGCGCCGGCUAACUACGUGCCAGCAGCCGCGGUAAUACGUAGGGCGCGAGCGUUGUCCGGAAUCAUUGGGCGUAAAGGGCUUGUAGGCGGCUUGUUGCGCCUGCUGUGAAAACGCGGGGCUUAACUUCGCGCGUGCAGUGGGUACGGGCAGGCUUGAGUGUGGUAGGGGUGACUGGAAUUCCAGGUGUAGCGGUGGAAUGCGCAGAUAUCUGGAGGAACACCGAUGGCGGAGGCAGGUCACUGGGCCAUUACUGACGCUGGGGAGCGAAAGCAUGGGUAGCGAACAGG